GCACAUUAUAUUAUUACUGUUAUUGAACUGCACAGUGUCAUAGUUUGAAGCAACUAAAAAUUAGACCUGCCAAGCUCCAUUCAGGGAAUUAUCUAAAUCUGAAGAAGCAGUCCCCCCUGAAUCCAUAAAGCCCUAAGAUGUCAAAGCAUCACAAGGUUCUUGCUAAUUUGCUUAUGGCCUCCCUAAGUUGCUGAGUGGACUGGAACUUGAAAGCCUCCUUUCUUGGCCUCCUGAGCUGCUGUGAUUACAGGCAAUGCCAAUUAUAGAAGUAUGGAAGGGAGUUGCCCAGACGAACCCUGUGAAUUUGUUCCAGCUAUUUAUGACUAACAGGACUCAGGAUUCAAGAAGAGGAGGUAUUGAGAGACUCCGGACCAACUCAGAGCCACUGGGUGACUGCAGUGUCAUUUGGCGGACUGAAUGGAAGAAGCAGCUUGACUAGUUUCAUCUCUCUACUUCAUUGAUCAGGAUGCCUCUGUGUACAAGUGUGAAAGCUGUAAUUAUUACUCCAUGUGAACAAACCUCCUUAAGGACUCACAGGAGCUGGUGGAUCUAAAGUCUUCAUGCUCCAGUCUCCAAUGAGACUCUUGGAAAAAUAUUAUCCAAACUAAACUCACUCCUAAUGAACCACUCCAUUGCUGAAUUGGAGAGUCUAAUUCUGUGGAAAUCCAAAUGAAGUCAUCUAGGAACAUGGAACAAGAUAGUUUGGAGGAAUAAAACCACCACUACAAGGGAAGUAGGGACAGCAUUUGAAAUGGACUACAACAAAGCUUUGUAUGAUCUCAGGACAAAAUUAUAUGACUCUUCAGUAGAAGCAAAGUAUCUACCAUGAAAUCCAUGUUUUUAUAGAAAUUUGUACAUUUCUUUCAAUAGGGAGGGAUUUUGUUUGUUUGUUUGUGUAUUUUUUCCAAAUCCUGUUCACUUUGCCACCAAAAUCUCAGUCAUCCUUUGUGACUGCUACAGAAUCAUCACCACCCCUAUGGCUACCUCACACACCUCCAGUCCUGAAGGUAGCUUUUCCUAGCAACCCUUCCUGGGACCAAUGGUCUGCUUCCAGGGAAUGUGUGGAAAUCCCUAAUAGACUCUUGCCCAUUCCCAUCACCUUCCCCAGUUGUCAACUUCUUAUUCCACCAGACCAAUAUAGUUAUUGAUUCAAAGUACUUUUGGUAGCUUUCAUCUGAGAAGCUGUCCCUCAUAUCUCAGUCUAAAUUAAAGACUCCUUUCUGCCUUCUGUUUCAUCCUUUGAAAAUCUCUACCAUUCAACUUACCAUGUUACUAUGUAAAAGCAGAUUAAGGCAUAGUAUGUAGCCAAGAUAAAUAGUUCAAUAAUUGUACUGAAUAACAAGUAAACAGGAGUCAAGGCUAUAUAAGAGCUGAGUAUUCUGCAUUUUCUAAAAGCAAAAAUGUUAUAAAUGGCAUUUUAACUUCUUCAGGGAAUGCUCCCUAAAAUGUAUUACAACAAAUGGGCUAAGGAAAUGAACACACACUUCACAGAAGAAGAUGUACAAGCAAUCAACAGAUAUAUGAAAAAAUGUUCAACAUCCCUAGUAAUAAGGGAAAUGCAAAUCAAAA